GGAUAGCACUUUUUCUGGUAAGUGAAAUACAUUGCACUUUGUUUCUCGUCAACAACGUCCAAAUUUUUUUAGGUGUUAACCGCGACAAUUAUUGAUGGUUGGGCUAUUUCAUACAUGAGUGAAAUUUUGCUACAACAGCUUACGUUGCACCUUGCUUCCCUAAUGCGCAAAUGUGUUCAAGCCAGUAUGUGAUCAGUUCUGUAUUCUAGAAGGUUUUCUGUGUGAUUUAGUUUCUUUACAGGAAUUUACGGUACAGCAUCAGCAAGGAGUCUAAUUUCAAAUCUUCGUGUGUGAUGCAGGAUGUAUGCUUUGCUGCUUGGAUUGAUAAAACAUGGACCGAGGCUUCCAUACAAGAACGAACUUCAAUUUGGCUCUACCACCAUCAGCACUUGGCUGGCACCUGCCGAAUGAAUUAUCGUAGGUUUUGCUUGCCCGUGUCUACAAGAACCUUCACAUGUGUCCUGUGACAGAAAUGAUUUGUGGGCAGCCAGUGCUCUCCUACAAAGACAAGCCUGCCCUGGCUGCGGCAGCAAUGAUCUUCAAGAUCUAUGCAUGGUCACCUUUGCUGCUAUUUGUCACUCUUGUUAAUGACACAUUCUGCAUCUUUUCUCAUUUGUUAGGUAAUAAAGUUUGACUGUGUCACAUGGUGUAAAGUAGAUGUCUUGCCACAUUUUAGCUUGCAAUCAUGUUCUAUGCACUGCACUGCAUGAAAAGCUCAUCGU